rnacentral:rRNA from 1 species
AACGCUGGCGGUAUGCUUAACACAUGCAAGUCGAACGGAAGUCUUCGGACUUUAGUGGCGGACGGGUGAGUAACGCGUGAGAAUCUGGCUUUAGGUCGGGGACAACAGUUGGAAACGACUGCUAAUACCGGAUAUGCCGAGAGGUGAAAGAUUAAUUGCCUGAAGAAGAGCUCGCGUCUGAUUAGCUAGUUGGUGGGGUAAGAGCUUACCAAGGCGACGAUCAGUAGCUGGUCUGAGAGGACGAUCAGCCACACUGGGACUGAGACACGGCCCAGACUCCUACGGGAGGCAGCAGUGGGGAAUUUUCCGCAAUGGGCGAAAGCCUGACGGAGCAAUACCGCGUGAGGGAGGAAGGCUCUUGGGUUGUAAACCUCUUUUCUUAGGGAAGAAAAAAAUGACGGUACCUAAGGAAUCAGCAUCGGCUAACUCCGUGCCAGCAGCCGCGGUAAUACGGAGGAUGCAAGCGUUAUCCGGAAUGAUUGGGCGUAAAGCGUCCGCAGGUGGCAUUUCAAGUCUGCGGUCAAAGGUCGAGGCUCAACCUCGAACAGGCCGUGGGAACUGAAAAGCUAGAGUGUGGUAGGGGCAGAGGGAAUUCCCAGUGUAGCGGUGAAAUGCGUAGAGAUUGGGAAGAACACCGGUGGCGAAAGCGCUCUGCUAGGCCAAGACUGACACUGAGGGACGAAAGCUAGGGGAGCGAAUGGGAUUAGAUACCCCAGUAGUCCUAGCCGUAAACGAUGGAUACUAGGUGUAGCUUGUAUCGACCCAAGCUGUGCCGUAGCUAACGCGUUAAGUAUCCCGCCUGGGGAGU